rnacentral:rRNA from 1 species
AACGAACGCUGGCGGCAUGCCUAACACAUGCAAGUCGAACGAGACCUUCGGGUCUAGUGGCGCACGGGUGCGUAACGCGUGGGAACCUGCCUUUAGGUUCGGAAUAACUCAGAGAAAUUUGAGCUAAUACCGGAUAAUGUCUUCGGACCAAAGAUUUAUCGCCUUUAGAUGGGCCCGCGUUGGAUUAGCUAGUUGGUGGGGUAAAGGCCUACCAAGGCGACGAUCCAUAGCUGGUCUGAGAGGAUGAUCAGCCACACUGGGACUGAGACACGGCCCAGACUCCUACGGGAGGCAGCAGUGGGGAAUAUUGGACAAUGGGCGAAAGCCUGAUCCAGCAAUGCCGCGUGAGUGAUGAAGGCCUUAGGUUGUAAGACUCUUUUACCCGUACGAUGAUAAUGACGGUACCGACGAGAAUAAGACCC